AUUUAAUACUCCAAAAUUAACCCUUUAAUACUAUUGAGUAAUUCUAUGCACUCAUAGAAAUUUUUAUGUUAAAACUAGUAAUAAGAAGAAGAACUUCUCUUUAAUGCACUUAUAAACCAGAUAGGACACACCACUGGCAGUUAACACACCUGACCCCAAAGUAAAAACUUAUCUAGAAAAAUUUACUAUACACAGUGUUAAACUUACACAAGAGCAUCUCAAGAAAGAUUUAAAGAAAAAGAAGGAACUCGGCAAAUAUUAACCCCGCCUGUUUACCAAAAACAUCGCCUCUUGAAUAAAUCAUAAGAGGUCCAGCCUGCCCAGUGACCUAGUUCAACGGCCGCGGUAUCCUAACCGUGCGAAGGUAGCGUAAUCACUUACCCUUUAAAUGAGGGCUAGUAUGAAUGGCAUCACGAGAGUUAUACUGUCUCCUUUUUCUAAUCAGUGAAACUAAUCUCUCCGUGAAGAGGCGGGGAUAAAAUUAUAAGACGAGAAGACCCUAUGGAGCUUUAAAUAACACAACAUUUAUUAUUUCCCCCCUAAUUUCCGAAAUUUAAUCCCCAUGAUAAUAUUAUGAUUGUUAAUUUUCGGUUGGGGUGACCACGGAGUAAAAACUAACCUCCACGUUGAAAAGGGGGGCUUCCCCCUUAACAAAAAGCUACAACUUUAUGUAUCAACAAAUUGACAUUAAUUGACCCAUCAUUUGAUCAACGAACCAAGUUACCCUAGGGAUAACAGCGCCAUCCACUUCAAGAGCUCAUAUCGACAAGUGGGUUUACGACCUCGAUGUUGGAUCAGGGUAUCCCAGUGGUGUAGCCGCUACUAAA
rnacentral:rRNA from 1 species